AUUGAACGCUGGCGGCAGGCUUAACACAUGCAAGUCGAACGAGUGGCGGACGGGUGAGUAAUGUCUGGGAAACUGCCCGAUGGCGGGGGAUAACUACUGGAAACGGUAGCUAAUACCGCAUACCAUCGGAUGUUCCCAGAUGGGCUUAGCUAGUAGGUGGGGUAAGGGCUCACCUAGGCGACGAUCCCUAGAUGGUCUGAGAGGAUGACCAGCCACACUGGAACUGAGACACGGACCAGACUCCUACGGGAGGAAGCAGUGGGGAAUAUUGCACAAUGGGCGCAAGCCUGAUGCAGCCAUGCCGCGUGUAUGAAGAAGGCCUUCGGGUUGUAAAGUACUUUCAGCGAGGAGGCGUUACUCGCAGAAGAAGCACCGGCUAACUCCGUGCCAGCAGCCGCGGUAAUAC
rnacentral:rRNA from 1 species